GAUGAACGCUGGCGGCGUGCCUAAUACAUGCAAGUAGAACGCUGAAGCUUGGUGCUUGCACCGAGCGGAAGAGUUGCGAACGGGUGAGUAACGCGUAGGUAACCUGCCUCUUAGCGGGGGAUAACUAUUGGAAACGAUAGCUAAUACCGCAUAACAGUCGGCAUUGCAUGAUGUUGAUUUGAAAGGUGCAAUUGCAUCACUAAGAGAUGGACCUGCGUUGUAUUAGCUAGUUGGUGAGGUAACGGCUCACCAAGGCGACGAUACAUAGCCGACCUGAGAGGGUGAUCGGCCACACUGGGACUGAGACACGGCCCAGACUCCUACGGGAGGCAGCAGUAGGGAAUCUUCGGCAAUGGGGGCAACCCUGACCGAGCAACGCCGCGUGAGUGAAGAAGGUUUUCGGAUCGUAAAGCUCUGUUGUAAGAGAAGAACGAGUGUGAGAGUGGAAAGUUCACACUGUGACGGUAACUUACCAGAAAGGGACGGCUAACUACGUGCCAGCAGCCGCGGUAAUACGUAGGUCCCGAGCGUUAUCCGGAUUUAUUGGGCGUAAAGCGAGCGCAGGCGGUUAGAUAAGUCUGAAGUUAAAGGCUGUGGCUUAACCAUAGUACGCUUUGGAAACUGUCAAACUUGAGUGCAGAAGGGGAGAGUGGAAUUCCACGUGUAGCGGUGAAAUGCGUAGAUAUAUGGAGGAACACCGGUGGCGGAAGCGGCUCUCUGGUCUGUAACUGACGCUGAGGCUCGAAAGCGUGGGGAGCGAACAGG
rnacentral:rRNA from 1 species